AAAACUUCUCUGCCAGCUAACAAGAUUUUUCUCAUUAUAUUUCCAAUAUAUUUAUUCCUUGACCUUAAGGUCGAGCUUCUUCCUUUGUAGGACUGAUGUGUGCAGAGAAUCAGCAUUAAAGCUUCGAACAUGUGAUACGUGACUGGAUGGAGUUCCUGGAGAGCUGUAUUAACAUGUUUCAGAGUUGAAUUCUGAGGUUAGUGCCGUGUCAGAAAACAGGGUCCCUCAAGAAUGUGCAUAGUAAUUAUUUGUAUAGUUCAUAGCUAUUGUAGCAUAUCCUUCGUAAGUGAAUGAUAAAUAUUGUAUUUAAAACAACAUAAGAGCCUCAAUUCUGUAGAGGACUACGUUGCAGCCUUUUGUUGUGCUCUGAGAUGCUCAGGAAUUGAUGUGUUAAGCGGACUUUGAACCUUCUGGUGUCCUCCGGCAGCCUCAGAACUCCUCCCCUUGGCCCUGUGGACUCUGGCCACAGUAGGGGCG
rnacentral:lncRNA from 1 species